rnacentral:rRNA from 1 species
AUGGCAACAGAACCUCUGCAGUGCAAGACUCUGGUGCUCCGGGUGUCCAUCCACUGCGAGGGAUGCAAGAAGAAGGUGAAGAAAGUGCUGCAGGGCGUCGAUGGCGUGUACAGAUGCGACAUCGACGCCCGGAGCAACAAGGUGACGGUCGCCGUCACCGGGAACGUCAGCGCCGACGCUUUGCUGAAGAGGCUCCGCAGGUCGGGCAAGCACGCCCAGCAGUGGCCGGAGCAGCAGCAGCAGCAACUGGCCGUAGGAACCCAGAGACCCGGAGAAACCAAGAACGACGCCAUCCAGCCAGACAAGCCCGGUGGCACUGGCACCGCCCACAAGCCGGCGUCCGGCGACGCGGCGACAAGCGCCGCAGAGCAGAGCAACUCCAAGGCCACCCCUGAAGAAGAUCCCAACAAAGUCGCUCGCGAGACCGUGAAGCCGGCUCAAGACGACACGGAGAGCACCAAUACGGACGCCGACGCCGACGACGCUGUCAGCCAUCGCAGCAAGGAGCCCACGGCGGAACAAUGCAACGGCACCCAGAGGAAGCGGAAGCAGCUGCGGCAGGAGGAGAAACCAGUCGAUGCCAUCGCCACGGUGGCGGUGGCGGCAGCAUCGGACCAAGGCAGCCACACUUGCCACUCGCCACCACACCUGCAGCAGCAGCAGCAGCCGCCCCCGGUGCACGUCCUGAGCUACACCAUGGUGCGGCCGAGCGCGAGCGCGGCUUACUACGCCGCCGCGCCGGCGACGGCAGCGCCAGGCGCGAGGUCCCUGCCGCCGCAGGAGCUCCCGUACACGUACCCACCGUGCUGCCACUACUCGCAGCCGUCGCCUUGGGCGCCGCAGAUAGGCGCGGCUUCGCCGGCGCGCUACUCCUACGCCGAUAUUUUCAGCGACGACAAUGCCAACUCCUGCAGCGUGAUGUGA